UACGUAGGGUGCAAGCGUUGUCCGGAUUUAUUGGGCGUAAAGAGCUCGUAGGCGGUUUGGCAAGUCGGGUGUGAAACCUCCAGGCUCAACCUGGAGACGCCACUCGAUACUGCUAUGACUUGAGUCUGGUAGGGGAUCACGGAAUUCCUGGUGUAGCGGUGAAAUGCAUAGAUAUCAGGAGGAACACCGGUGGCGAAGGCGGUGAUCUGGGCCAGUACUGACGCUGAGGAGCGAAAGCUAGGGGAGCGAACGGG
rnacentral:rRNA from 1 species